GGAGGCGUGGCUGAGUGGUUGAAGGCACUUGUCUUGAAAACAAGAGACUGGGCAACUGGUCCGUGAGUUCGAAUCUCACCGCCUCCGCCA
rnacentral:tRNA from 1 species